rnacentral:rRNA from 1 species
CCUACGCGAGACUGCAGUGAGGAAUAUUCGUCAAUGGACGAGAGUCUGAACCAGCCAAGUAGCGUGAAGGAUGACUGCCCUAUGGGUUGUAACCUUCUUUUAUAUGGGAAUAAAAUGGUCCACGUGUGGGUUUUUGUAUGUACCAUAUGAAUAAGGAUCGGCUACCUCCGUGCCACCAGCCGCGGUACUACGGAGGAUCCGAGCGUUAUCCGGAUUUAUUGGGUUUAAAGGGAGCGUAGGUGGGUUGGUAAGUCAGUUGUGAAAGUUUGCGGCUCAACCGUAAAAUUGCAGUUGAUACUGGCAGUCUUGAGUACAGGAGAGGUGGGCGGAAUUCGUGGUGUAGCGGUGAAAUGCUUAGAUAUCACGAAGAACUCCGAUUGCGAAGGCAGCUCACUGGACUGCGACUGACACUGAGGCUCGAAAGUGUGGGUAUCAAACAGGAUUAGAUACCCCAGUAGUC